CCGAGUUUACAACUCCCAAACCCCUGUGAACAUACCUACUAUGUUGCCUCGGCGGAUCAGCCCGCGCCCGUAAAACGGGACGGCCCGCCAGAGGAUCCACUAAACUCUGUUUCUAUAUGUAACUUCUGAGUAAAAACCAUAAUAAAUCA
rnacentral:misc_RNA from 1 species